rnacentral:rRNA from 1 species
UAAGAAUUUAAGAGUCGAACAGACUCACCUUAUAAGAAGGCUGCUCCUUAAAGUUUUCUUAAUUCAACAUCGAGGUCGCAAAAGAAAGUAUAGAUGUGAACUCCCCACUCCAAUUACGCUGUUAUCCCUAAGGUAACUUUGUCUUUGUUCCAAUAAAAGGAUCAUAAAACACAUAUAUAAAUGAAGAUUUUAACUAAAGUUAAAUUUAGCAACCGCCCCAGUUAAACAAUUUACAAUUUAAAAAAAAUUUAAGUACAAAAUUUUAUUAAAAUAUAAACUAUAAAGUUCUAUAGGGUCUUAUCGUCCCUAAAAAUUAAAUAGGCAUUUUAACCUAAAAUUUAAAUUCUAAAUUUAAAAUUAAUAAAAUAAAUUUCUCAUACAUCCAUUCAUACCAGCUCCCAAUUAAGAAGCUAAUUACUAUGCUACCUUUGCACAGUCAAAAUACUGCAGCCAUUUAGUAAACCCAUAGGGCAGAAGAUACUUUUUAAAAACCCA